AUUGAACGCUGGCGGAAUGCUUUACACAUGCAAGUCGAACGGUAGAGGGGCAACCCUUGAGAGUGGCGAACGGGUGAGUAAUGUAUCGGAACAUGCCCAGUCGUGGGGGAUAACGUAGCGAAAGUUACGCUAAUACCGCAUACGAUCUAUGGAUGAAAGCGGGGGAUCGCAAGACCUCGCGCGAUUGGAGUGGCCGAUAUCAGAUUAGGUAGUUGGUGGGGUAAAGGCCUACCAAGCCGACGAUCUGUAGCUGGUCUGAGAGGACGACCAGCCACACUGGGACUGAGACACGGCCCAGACUCCUACGGGAGGCAGCAGUGGGGAAUUUUGGACAAUGGGCGCAAGCCUGAUCCAGCCAUUCCGCGUGCAGGAAGAAGGCCUUCGGGUUGUAAACUGCUUUUGUACGGAACGAAACGCGCUGAGCUACUACCUCGGCGUAAUGACGGUACCGUAAGAAUAAGCACCGGCUAACUACGUGCCAGCAGCCGCGGUAA
rnacentral:rRNA from 1 species